GGCAAGGAAAGUCACAUCAUUCAGGUUGUUUUGCUCCUCAUGCCACGAAUCCCAAUGAAGAAGAAGCUGAGCUCUACUACAAGACUCUGAGGAUUGCUCUAUCUCUGUCCUUCACUUCCCAUUUUCGACUGCACCUCCAGGCCAUGGGAAUAGGGCUCAUUCUGACCACUAGCCAUAUUUAAGGGAGGUUCACCAUCUCCUCCAUCAAGGAACUUGCUCAGGGGAACAAAGAUGAUACCACCACAUUCUGAAGACAAGAAACCAGAUUUUCCUGAAGAGUAAGAACAAAUCUCUUUCUAUGAAAAGAGAUUCUUUUUAUUUCUUCUGUCUCUUAGAAGUCUGCAACUCAAGGACAAGUAUUGACUUUUACCUCUUUGGGAAUCCCCAGUGGCAUCUGGACAGAUCCUAUGUGUUUAAUAAAUGUUCACUGAUUGAUUAA